rnacentral:tRNA from 1 species
AUUUAAAUAGUUUAAUAAAAACGUUGGUUUGUGGUACCAAAAUUAUAAUUAUAUUUUAAAUA